GCCACUGCGGCGGGAGUUCCAAUCAGAGCGCGCCAGGGGGCUCCUCCUGGGCAGGAACCACCCGGCUUGGCGGCGGAGGGUGGGCCGCCGUCACCUGACCGCCCGCCCCCGCCCCCCGCGAGUAAGGGGCGGUGGUAGCGUCUGCUCGGUUACAAAUGGCCCCUCCCGCCCCGCUCGCCCGCUCGCUCGGGCUCGGCGCGGACCCGCCCGGGCGCGCUCCUCGCGCCGGUUCCCGGCGUCCCGCCGCCCUGCCGGGAACCGGCCAGCGGCCCCCGCCACCCCUAAGGGUGCUGCCGACACCCGGUGCAGAGGCUCGCCGGCGGAGGUCGCUACGGGAGGCUGGACCGCGGAGGCGCGCGGCUCUCCCACCCGCAGGUCUUUCCUUGAUACGGUGAAAGGAGACUGCUCUUCUGCCUGAGAGUGGUUCAAAACGUAUCCAGGCUCUCUGUGGGAGUCCCCUCUGAACUGCAGCCACACUGAGUCCCCUCUGAACUGCAGCCACACUGCCCUCUACUUGAUGAGUACUCGGUGGUCAGACACUCAGAUGCAACCACAAAAGUUCCGUGUUCUUCGUGAUGCAGCUGGAGCUUGGGAUAGAUGAGUGCGUGCCCCAGGGUCAUACAGCAGUAAGUGAUGAUAACCCUCACCUCUGACUCCAGGGCUCCCCCAUUAUCUCCUACACCUCCAUAAGCUGCCCAUGGUUCUAUAAGCUGGAAAAGGCAGUAGAGGUGGUGUUUGGAAAUGUUUGCCAGUGGACAAGCUGCCAUUUUUCAUUACCCCUUCACCUUGCUGGUCUGAAACCAUUGUAGGAGUAAAGGAAAUAAAAAGCAUUGAGUACGAAGCAAAAUUUGCUUCAGAGUCAAGUUAAGAGUGUUCACAAAGUACGUCUAGCCCCUACCAGCCUGCAAUUUUUGUAAAGAUAAAUAGGCUGCUCCCGGAAAAGUUUGCUUUAAGACCCACUAUCUCAGUUUUCCCUAUCGGCAACGUGAGGACAAACUGCGAUCCAUCAUGGUGCUUUUGAGGACAAGAGGAGCAGAAGUCAGGGUGGAUCUUUGACCGAGAAGACAAGCUUUGCAGAGGCUCUUCUCUUUCCAGGCCUUUCUCUUUGGCUUCCCUUGAAAGCCCUCCCCUCUCCUCCUCUGCCCCCAGACUGUUGGCCUCUGAGAGUGAGGGGACAGAGGAAUGGCAUCAGCUAGGCUGCGGGCUUGGUGCUUUGUCUAAAGAGUAUUGUGUUGUCACCCUACCCGGUUUUUAUUUUGUUGUCUUUGUAAGAAUGAGAAUUGGGGGUGAGGAGAGGAGGGAAGGAGGAGAGUGCCUGGGCCUUGAAACAGGAAACUCUUCAUCCUCUUGCCAUCCAGGCUUGAAAGACCCAUCAAAGCAUGCCUCUAGAAGCAUGGCGUCAAAUGAGAGCUAAGAGGCACUUGAAGGUGUUGUGAUGUUAGCUGCACCCUGUCAGUGUGUCUUAAAAAAUACGCGAGUGCAGGGGAGAAUUCCCUGCCAGUCGUGCCCACCACCCCUCCCAAAAUUUUCCGGCCCAGACUUAAGACAGCAAAUGAAUGAUAAGGUGGGCCUCCUGUGGUGUAAAGAAAGCCAGCCCCCGUGAAAUUCGGCUGAGUCCCAAGAUUACCUUUGCUAAGUCUGUAGUUGAGUGAGUAUGAGGGUGACAAUUUUCUGGAGUUUUUUGUAGAAUGAAGGAAGCUGGACAUCCUGUGUUGUGUCCAGAAUAAGGAUGGAGAAGCUCAGCAGUACCUACAGGUCAGCAGGAUUUAUUUUGUGCCUUCUGACGAGGCGUUCUGCAUUGGCUGCAGCCUGGCUGUGGGCAAGACACCUGAUGUCCAAUUUGGGGGCUCAAGAGUAUUGUUAUUCCCAUGUUAGCGGUAAGCACACUGAGGCACAGGGGCUCCCGGAUGGCUCAGAUGGUGAAGCAUCCGAUUUCAGCUCAGGUCAUGAUCUCGCAGUUGGUGAGUUCGAGCCCCACGUUGGUCUCUGUGCUGACCGCUCAGAGCCUGGAGCCUGC